rnacentral:rRNA from 1 species
GUGGGGAAUCUUAGACAAUGGGCGCAAGCCUGAUCUAGCCAUGCCGCGUGAGCGAUGAAGGCCUUAGGGUUGUAAAGCUCUUUCAGGGGGGAAGAUAAUGACGGUACCCCCAGAAGAAGCCCGGCUAACUCCGUGCCAGCAGCCGCGGUAAUACGGAGGGGGCUAGCGUUGUUCGGAAUUACUGGGCGUAAAGCGCACGUAGGCGGACCAGAAAGUCAGGGGUGAAAUCCCGGGGCUCAACCCCGGAACUGCCUUUGAAACUCCUGGUCUUGAGGUCGAGAGAGGUGAGUGGAAUUCCGAGUGUAGAGGUGAAAUUCGUAGAUAUUCGGAGGAACACCAGUGGCGAAGGCGGCUCACUGGCUCGAUACUGACGCUGAGGUGCGAAAGCGUGGGGAGCAAACAGGAUUAGAAACCCUAGUAGUCC